AUUGAACGCUGGCGGCAGGCCUAACACAUGCAAGUCGAACGAGUGGCGGACGGGUGAGUAAUGUCUGGGAACCUGCCUGAUGGAGGGGGAUAACUACUGGAAACGGUAGCUCAUACCGCAUACCAUCAGAUGUGCCCAGAUGGGAUUAGCUUGUUGGUGGGGUAAGGGCUCACCAAGGCGACGAUCCCUAGCUGGUCUGAGAGGAUGACCAGCCAACCUGGAACGGAGACACGGACCAGACUCCUACGGGAGGCAGCAGUGGGGAAUAUUGGACAAUGGGCGCAAGCCUGAUGCAGCCAGGCCGGGUGUAUGAAGAAGGCCUUCGGGUUGUAAAGUACUUUCAGCGGGGAGGCGUUACCCGCAGAAGAAGCACCGGCUAACUCCGUGCCAGCAGCCGCGGUAAUAC
rnacentral:rRNA from 1 species